GACUCCAGCAAUAUACAAUACUAUAUUUAUCCUGUCCGCAAUUCCAAAUUCUGUUACUUCUACUACAGAUGCAUUGUUUCUGAAGGAGUUGAAGGUACGGGUGAACCGAUGCUGGCAUUAUAUGUAAAAUGUGGUUACCAAAACAAUCCAUGGGCCAAAAAGGAAAUUGAUACAUUUUUGAGAUGUGCAGAAAAGUUAAACGUACAUAACAUAGUCCAAAUCACACCCUGUUACUGCGAAAGUGAUGAGGACUCAAGUUACUCAUCAAGUUAGUUAAUAACUUAUGUGGUUGACCUAGUUAUUCCUUUGAAUAAAAAUGAUUUUCUGUUGCAUAAA